rnacentral:rRNA from 1 species
AACGAACGCUGGCGGCAUGCCUAACACAUGCAAGUCGAACGAGACCUUCGGGUCUAGUGGCGCACGGGUGCGUAACGCGUGGGAACCUGCCCUUAGGUUCGGAAUAACUCCCCGAAAGGGGUGCUAAUACCGGAUAAUGUCUUCGGACCAAAGAUUUAUCGCCUUUGGAUGGGCCCGCGUUGGAUUAGCUAGUUGGUAGGGUAAAAGCCUACCAAGGCGACGAUCCAUAGCUGGUCUGAGAGGAUGAUCAGCCACACUGGGACUGAGACACGGCCCAGACGACGACGGGGGGCAGGAGGGGAGAAUAUGGAAGAGCGGGCGAAAGCCGGGUCGAGCAGUGAGGGGGGAGUGAUGAUGGCCUUUGGUUUGUAGAGCUCUGUGACCGGGGAAGAACAGGACAGAAAGGGGAGAAGAAGCUCCGUCUACACCCGCGCCAGCGGCGGCGGGAAUAAGGGGAAGAGCACACUUCCAACC